GCUCGAGUCUACCUGUCUGGAGGAGCUGCUGCUUUUUUCGGAAUGUGGAGAUUUAACAGGGCCAUAAAUUCAUGCCUUGAUCAUAUUCUUGAUCUGGAUGGAAGUCGGAUACAGAGGGAGUUAGCAAAUAUNNNNNNNNNNNNGAUGAUCCCUGGACAAUGAAACGUAUGUAUAGACAUUUCUAUUCAGAGAAUGUGUUUGACGACUCAAACUCAGAUAAGCCGAUAUUAAGGUGGCGUUAUCGAAAUUUCUUUGGGGAUAAUGUUGCUUAUGGUCAAAGGAUGAAUGACUGUGACUCGCAGAGUGACUCACACAUUGUCUCUCAUGAUGAUUCUGAUAGUAAAAAGGCUCAUGUGGAGUCAAAACAAGUUCCUAUGAACCCUGGUGCUGAUGUGAUGGAAGACCCUCUAGAUAGUAUUUUUGGUUCCAUGGCACCAGUGGAGGAGAUCCAUCACCUAAGCGCAUCAAGCACACCUGCCAGAGCACUUACUCGUAGCCACAGAAGAUCUCAGCGUAGGCGUCAGAUGCUUCUCCAUCAUGAAUCAUGAAGACUUGAAGCCAGCAUAGCAGUAUGUUUAAACUUGAUGGA
rnacentral:misc_RNA from 1 species